AUCCAGGCAUUGCAGAAAUGAUGCCAUGAUCAUGAAGUUGGUUUCCCUAGGGUGAAGCUUAGUCAUUUCACUCCAGUUGUACUGACCCCUGUGGUGCCCCCAAAUGUGGGAAAGUCAACUGCAUAAUUUCUGCUAGUGGAAGACUGUUCAAGCUCUCUCUCCAA